rnacentral:rRNA from 1 species
ACGCUCGACACCUAGAGGCAGCAGUGGGGAAUAUUGCACAAUGGGGGAAACCCUGAUGCAGCGACGCCGCGUGAGCGAAGAAGUAUCUCGGUAUGUAAAGCUCUAUCAGCAGGGAAGAAGAUGACGGUACCUGACUAAGAAGCACCGGCUAAAUACGUGCUAGCAGCCGCGGUAAUCUGAGCGGGCUGGCAAGGC